rnacentral:rRNA from 1 species
UACAGAGGUCUCAAGCGUUGUUCGGAUUCAUUGGGCGUAAAGGGUGCGUAGGCGGCGAGGUAAGUCAGAUGUGAAAUCCCGGAGCUUAACUCCGGAACUGCAUUUGAUACUGCUUUGCUUGAGGACUGGAGAGGAGAUCGGAAUUCACGGUGUAGCAGUGAAAUGCGUAGAUAUCGUGAGGAAGGCCAGUGGCGAAGGCGGAUCUCUGGACAGUUCCUGACGCUGAGGCACGAAGGCCAGGGGAGCAAACGGG